rnacentral:rRNA from 1 species
GAUUAAGUUAUUAAGGGCGCACGGUGGAUGCCUUGGCACUAGAAGCCGAUGAAGGACGUUACUAACGACGAUAUGCUUUGGGGAGCUGUAAGUAAGCUUUGAUCCAGAGAUUUCCGAAUGGGGAAACCCAGCAUGAGUUAUGUCAUGUUAUCGAUAUGUGAAUACAUAGCAUAUCAGAAGGCACACCCGGAGAACUGAAACAUCUUAGUACCCGGAGGAAGAAAAAGAAAAUUCGAUUCCCUUAGUAGCGGCGAGCGAAACGGGAAGAGCCCAAACCAACAAGCUUGCUUGUUGGGGUUGUAGGACACUCUAUACGGAGUUACAAAGGACGACAUUAGACGAAUCAUCUGGAAAGAUGAAUCAAAGAAGGUAAUAAUCCUGUAGUCGAAAAUGUUGUCUCUCUUGAGUGGAUCCUGAGUACGACGGAACACGUGAAAUUCCGUCGGAAUCUGGGAGGACCAUCUCCUAAGGCUAAAUACUCUCUAGUGACCGAUAGUGAACUAGUACCGUGAGGGAAAGGUGAAAAGCACCCCGGAAGGGGAGUGAAAUAGAACCUGAAACCGUGUGCUUACAAGUAGUCAGAGCCCGUUAAUGGGUGAUGGCGUGCCUUUUGUAGAAUGAACCGGCGAGUUACGAUUUGAUGCAAGGUUAAGCAGUAAAUGUGGAGCCGUAGCGAAAGCGAGUCUGAAUAGGGCGUUUAGUAUUUGGUCGUAGACCCGAAACCAGGUGAUCUACCCUUGGUCAGGUUGAAGUUCAGGUAACACUGAAUGGAGGACCGAACCGACUUACGUUGAAAAGUGAGCGGAUGAACUGAGGGUAGCGGAGAAAUUCCAAUCGAACCUGGAGAUAGCUGGUUCUCUCCGAAAUAGCUUUAGGGCUAGCCUCAAGUGAUGAUUAUUGGAGGUAGAGCACUGUUUGGACGAGGGGCCCCUCUCGGGUUACCGAAUUCAGACAAACUCCGAAUGCCAAUUAAUUUAACUUGGGAGUCAGAACAUGGGUGAUAAGGUCCGUGUUCGAAAGGGAAACAGCCCAGACCACCAGCUAAGGUCCCAAAAUAUAUGUUAAGUGGAAAAGGAUGUGGCGUUGCCCAGACAACUAGGAUGUUGGCUUAGAAGCAGCCAUCAUUUAAAGAGUGCGUAAUAGCUCACUAGUCGAGUGACACUGCGCCGAAAAUGUACCGGGGCUAAACAUAUUACCGAAGCUGUGGAUUGUCCUUUGGACAAUGGUAGGAGAGCGUUCUAAGGGCGUUGAAGCAUGAUCGUAAGGACAUGUGGAGCGCUUAGAAGUGAGAAUGCCGGUGUGAGUAGCGAAAGACGGGUGAGAAUCCCGUCCACCGAUUGACUAAGGUUUCCAGAGGAAGGCUCGUCCGCUCUGGGUUAGUCGGGUCCUAAGCUGAGGCCGACAGGCGUAGGCGAUGGAUAACAGGUUGAUAUUCCUGUACCACCUAUAAUCGUUUUAAUCGAUGGGGGGACGCAGUAGGAUAGGCGAAGCGUGCGAUUGGAUUGCACGUCUAAGCAGUAAGGCUGAGUAUUAGGCAAAUCCGGUACUCGUUAAGGCUGAGCUGUGAUGGGGAGAAGACAUUGAGUCUUCGAGUCGUUGAUUUCACACUGCCGAGAAAAGCCUCUAGAUAGAAAAUAGGUGCCCGUACCGCAAACCGACACAGGUAGUCAAGAUGAGAAUUCUAAGGUGAGCGAGCGAACUCUCGUUAAGGAACUCGGCAAAAUGACCCCGUAACUUCGGGAGAAGGGGUGCUCUUUAGGGUUAACGCCCAGAAGAGCCGCAGUGAAUAGGCCCAAGCGACUGUUUAUCAAAAACACAGGUCUCUGCUAAACCGUAAGGUGAUGUAUAGGGGCUGACGCCUGCCCGGUGCUGGAAGGUUAAGAGGAGUGGUUAGCUUCUGCGAAGCUACGAAUCGAAGCCCCAGUAAACGGCGGCCGUAACUAUAACGGUCCUAAGGUAGCGAAAUUCCUUGUCGGGUAAGUUCCGACCCGCACGAAAGGCGUAACGAUUUGGGCACUGUCUCAACGAGAGACUCGGUGAAAUCAUAGUACCUGUGAAGAUGCAGGUUACCCGCGACAGGACGGAAAGACCCCGUGGAGCUUUACUGUAGCCUGAUAUUGAAAUUCGGCACAGCUUGUACAGGAUAGGUAGGAGCCUUUGAAACGUGAGCGCUAGCUUACGUGGAGGCGCUGGUGGGAUACUACCCUAGCUGUGUUGGCUUUCUAACCCGCACCACUUAUCGUGGUGGGAGACAGUGUCAGGCGGGCAGUUUGACUGGGGCGGUCGCCUCCUAAAAGGUAACGGAGGCGCUCAAAGGUUCCCUCAGAAUGGUUGGAAAUCAUUCAUAGAGUGUAAAGGCAUAAGGGAGCUUGACUGCGAGACCUACAAGUCGAGCAGGGUCGAAAGACGGACUUAGUGAUCCGGUGGUUCCGCAUGGAAGGGCCAUCGCUCAACGGAUAAAAGCUACCCCGGGGAUAACAGGCUUAUCUCCCCCAAGAGUUCACAUCGACGGGGAGGUUUGGCACCUCGAUGUCGGCUCAUCGCAUCCUGGGGCUGUAGUCGGUCCCAAGGGUUGGGCUGUUCGCCCAUUAAAGCGGUACGCGAGCUGGGUUCAGAACGUCGUGAGACAGUUCGGUCCCUAUCCGUCGUGGGCGUAGGAAAUUUGAGAGGAGCUGUCCUUAGUACGAGAGGACCGGGAUGGACAUACCUCUGGUGUACCAGUUGUCGUGCCAACGGCAUAGCUGGGUAGCUAUGUGUGGACGGGAUAAGUGCUGAAAGCAUCUAAGCAUGAAGCCCCCCUCAAGAUGAGAUUUCCCAACUUCGGUUAUAAGAUCCCUCAAAGAUGAUGAGGUUAAUAGGUUCGAGGUGGAAGCAUGGUGACAUGUGGAGCUGACGAAUACUAAUCGAUCGAAGACUUAAUCAA